GGACGAACGCUGGCGGCGUGCUUAACACAUGCAAGUCGAACGGAAAGGCCCUGCUUUUGUGGGGUGCUCGAGUGGCGAACGGGUGAGUAACACGUGAGUAACCUGCCCUUGACUUUGGGAUAACUUCAGGAAACUGGGGCUAAUACUGGAUAGGAGCUCCUGCUGCAUGGUGGGGGUGGGAAAGUUUCGGGGGUUGGGGAUGGACUCGCGGCUUAUCAGCUUGUUGGUGGGGUAGUGGCUUACCAAGGCUUUGACGGAUAGCCGGCCUGAGAGGGUGACCGGCCACAUUGGGACUGAGAUACGGCCCAGACUCCUACGGGAGGCAGCAGUGGGGAAUAUUGCACAAUGGGCGGAAGCCUGAUGCAGCAACGCCGCGUGCGGGAUGACGGCCUUCGGGUUGUAAACCGCUUUCGCCUGUGACGAAGCGUGAGUGACGGUAAUGGGUAAAGAAGCACCGGCUAACUACGUG
rnacentral:rRNA from 1 species